rnacentral:rRNA from 1 species
GCUGGCGGCAUGCUUAACACAUGCAAGUCGAACGGAAACGAUGGAAGCUUGCUUCCAGGCGUCGAGUGGCGGACGGGUGAGUAAUGCUUGGGAAUCUGCCUAAUAGUGGGGAACAACUCGGGGAAACUCGGGCUAAUACCGCAUAAUCUCUUCGGAGGAAAGGGGGCCUCUACAUGUAAGCUCUCGCUAAUAGAUGAGCCCAAGUCAGAUUAGCUUGUUGGUAAGGUAAUGGCUUACCAAGGCUACGAUCUGUAGCUGGUCUGAGAGGAUGAUCAGCCACACUGGGACUGAGACACGGCCCAGACUCCUACGGGAGGCAGCAGUGGGGAAUAUUGCACAAUGGGCGAAAGCCUGAUGCAGCAAUGCCGCGUGUGUGAAGAAGGCUCUAGGGUUGUAAAGCACUUUCAAUAAGGAAGAAAAGCAUAUGGUUAAUAACCUUAUGUAUUGACGUAACUUAUACAAGAAGCACCGGCUAAUUCCGUGCCAGCAGCCGCGGUAAUACGGAAGGUGCAAGCGUUAAUCGGAAUUACUGGGCGUAAAGCGCACGUAGGCUGUUAUUUAAGUCGGAUGUGAAAUCCUCGGGCUCAACCUGGGAACUGCAUCCGAAACUGAAUAACUAGAGUAUGGGAGAGGUAAGUAGAAUUUCCGGUGUAGCGGUGAAAUGCGUAGAUAUCGGAAGGAAUACCAGUGGCGAAGGCGGCUUACUGGACCAAUACUGACGCUGAGGUGCGAAAGCGUGGGGAGCGAACAGGAUUAGAUACCCUGGUAGUCCACGCCGUAAACGAUGAGAACUAGAUGUUGGGAGGGUUAGCCUCUCAGUGUCGCAGCUAACGCAUUAAGUUCUCCGCC